CUACGGGGUGCAGCAGUGAGGAAUAUUGCACAAUGGGGGGAACCCUGAUGCAGCAACGCCGCGUGGAGGAUGACGCAUUUCGGUGUGUAAACUCCUUUUAUAUGUCAAGAAAAUGACGGUAGCAUAUGAAUAAGCACCGGCUAACUCCGUGCCAGCAGCCGCGGUAAUACGGAGGGUGCAAGCGUUACUCGGAAUCACUGGGCGUAAAGGACGCGUAGGCGGGUUGGAAAGUCAGGUGUGAAAUCCUACAGCGUAACUGUAGGACUGCACUUGAAACUUCUAAUCUAGAGUAUGGGAGGGGGAGAUGGAAUUAGUGGUGUAGGGGUAAAAUCCGUAGAUAUCACUAGGAAUACCUAAAGCGAAGGCGAUCUCCUGGAACAUUACUGACGCUAAGGCGUGAAAGCGUGGGGAGCAAACAGGAUUAUACCCGAGUAGUC
rnacentral:rRNA from 1 species